rnacentral:piRNA from 1 species
UGGCACGUUUGUAGUCAAAGGAUUGGAAGG